AGUGCGGUUUUGAGUUUUUCACCUCGCUCUGAGUUAGUUUUGGUAAACGUUUAGUUUUUUCUUUCAAGAGAGAGCUCAUUGUGGGGACUUCAAAAACCAUACUGGAUUCCAGAAUAGCCAGGUUCCAGACAGCAGAGGGGACCACACUGUUCAUUACAAUAGGUUAUAUAGAGGUGUCACAAAGACGGCCGGAGUGGGUGGCGUCAGACCAGAAGCAGAAUUCACAGACAGAGACGGUGGUUGUGAUGAGCUGAGUGCAAUGGCUGCACUCAGCGUUUAAUAACAAAUAAAAGGGUUGAAAACAGCACAAAAACACUGGACACGGCACUACACGCCAAAAUAAAUAGACAUACAAAACGGACUAAACACUUAACAAACGGUGCACGGAGACAAACAAACACGGUGUGUUCUGAACUGAGAUGGGUGUCAUACUACCAUUGAAGCCCAGAGGUGAGCAAAGACAGAUAUGCUCCCCCAAUGCUUUUCAGCAGCAUUUCCUGCUGGAAAGGUUCUCAAGAUGGCUCGGGAAGGCUGCAGGAUCAAUAGACAGCCAGUUCCACCCCUCCGCUCUGCCAAAUGUUGCUGAGACAGGCUCCCAUUCUUUCCUGCUGUUAAAUAUUCAUUGAUAAUGAUGCACACAGUCCCUUAAUCCUGCAGGCUUCGAGAAAAGCAGCUGUCUCCAACAGCACUCGAUCAACACCGAAACAGAAUGAAAGCUUCAAAGAGGCAGGCAGUCUGGAGGGAUCGGCUUCCUCUUCCUGGAUGAGAGAAGAAUCUGAGAUCCAAAGACAUCAAGCUCUGAGAACAUCAAAAACGCCCAAACCUCUCCUGAGAUUACUGAUUCCACACCAGGCUCUACUCUACGAGCUGCACCAAACCAUCAGUUUAAAGGUUUAAACAAGGGAUCCAAAAUAAAAUAAUUCUCCCAUCUACGUGGCAUUCGUGGUAUUUGAUUUCCAAUUCUUAUCACCUCUGUCACAAA